GGUUAGACCCGCGCUGGGCCGGAAUUAAACGCGAAUGAAGACAAACCAGACGUGAAAUUAGCAUCAUAAAUAACAACCAGGAUCCACGUUGUACAUCCCCCACACAAGACGCAGGGACGCCGCCAUUUACCAGUGCCGAGCAGAGAACGGCAUCCACCCGGCCGGCGUCAGUACUGUCAGUCUGCAGGUCACGUAUCCUCCGACGAUACGACCGUCCUUUGAGGAGAAAGUCAGCGUCCUGUUCGGCCAGAAGGUGGACUUCUCUGUGCAGUGUGAGGCCGACGGCAACCCC